GUCCCGGGCAUAGGCGGAGCGAGCGGCAGUCUUGCUCUUCACAGAGCUUUGAGGAGCUGGACCAAAAUUGUGCUCCACAGAGAGAAGACACCGGUGCCGGGAAGCACCAGUGCCCUGAGGAAGGGCCAUUUCUAAAAGCCCUGUGCUGACACAGGGGUGCUGGUUCGUCUUCAAGAGCCCACUCUCUGGGGUGGGGCCAUAUCUCCAGCAGAGGUGGGCUGGAAAGGAUCCCCCCACCCUGCCCGCCGUGAGCUUAGCUGGAGCCAUGGCCUCUGCACGCCUCUGGACGCUUGCGAUGCUCUUCACAUUGAGUGGGCUGAGAGCUCAGUCAGUGGCUCAGCCGGAAGAUGAGGUCACGGUCGCUGAAGGGAAUCCUCUGACUGUGAAAUGCACCUAUUCAGUCUCUGGAAACCCUUAUCUUUUUUGGUAUAUUCAAUACCCCAAUGAAGGCCUCCAGUUCCUUCUGAAAUACAUCACAGGGGACAACCUGGUUAAAGGCAGCUAUGGCUUUGAAGCUGAAUUUAACAAGAGCCAAACCUCCUUCCACCUGAAGAAACCAUCUGCCCUUGUGAGCGACUCCGCUUUGUACUUCUGUGCUGUGAGAGACACACACUGAUAGGGGCUGCAGGGGGAGCAGAACACAAACUCUUGAGUCUAGUAAAGCCCAUUUUCUUGACGUCUUUGUUCCUUCACAUGAGAGCGGUGGGGUUCUAGGAUAUGUCACUUAUUAUGUUAAACUACAAUUUUAAACCAUAGAAUUUGCUCAUUCAGGAAGUGUUUAUUGAGUCCUGAUGUGCCAGGUACUGGGCUAAGCACCGGUCAUAAAAAGGUGAAAGAAGUGUAAAACAAAUAGAAAAAAACAUGGGGGAAAAUUACCAUGACAUUGGUCUGGGCAAGAAGUUCCUUCCUUCCUUCCUUCCUUCCUUCCUCCCUCCCUCCCUCUCUCUCUUUCUUUCUUUCUGAAAAGGGGUUUAUUUUCAACAGACAUUUCUUUUUAUACCGAGGUGAAAUGUCAUCAUCAUAAUAAUUUUGCAAUGUUACAUACCCUGUUGAGACCAUUAAAAAAAUUAGGUUCAUGGUAUACAUGUCCAAGUUUGUAGAAAAAACAAUUGUGUGAUGCUGUGGUUUGCACAUCUAUUGAUCCUGCCACCCAAAGAGUGAACAUAGUACCCAGGAGAAAGCUUUUUGUCUCUUGUGAGCAAGGAAUUUUUGGAUAUGACCCCAAAAGCACAGGCAACAAAAGCAAAAAUAGACAAAUGGUACUAUAUUAAACUAAAAAACUUCUGCACAGCAAAAGAAACAAACAGAGUGAAGAGAAAGCCUAUGGAAUGGGAGGAAAUAUUUGCAAACUCUACAUCUGAUAAGGGGUUAACAUUCAAAAUGUUUAAGAAGCUCACAUACCAAAAACACCCAAAUAAGCUGAUUAAAAAAUAGGCCAAGGAACUGAAUAGCCGUUUCUCAAAUGAAGGCAUAAAAAUGGCCAAGAAGUAUAUAAAAAAUGCCCAACAUCAUUAAUUAUCAGGAACGUGCAAAUUAAGACCACCAUUAGAUAUCACCUCACAACCUAUUAGGUUGGCUAUUAUC